rnacentral:lncRNA from 1 species
UUUUUUUUUUUUUUUUUUUUUUUUGCGCUUUUUAGGGCUGCACCCACGGCAUAUGGAGGUUCCCAGGCUAGGGGUCGAAUCUAAGCUACAGCUGCCGACCUACGCCACAGCCACAGCGAUGUGGGAUGUGAGCCAUGUCUGCGACCUACCCCACAACUCAUGGCAACGCCGGAUCUUUAACCUACUGAGCGAGGCCAGGGAUCAAACACUCAUCCUCAAGGAUCCUAGUCGGGUUCAUUAACUGCUGGGUCAUGAAGGGAACUCCUGAACUUACAUUUCUAUUGCUUACAAGUAUUGUAUAUAUUUGAUUAUAUUAUCUGCCUCUCCCAUUAAAAAACCUAGCAAAAGCAUUAGCAAAUAUUUGAGGAGUAAAAUAUCUUAAGACUCAGAUCAUUGAUCACAGUUUGAUCACAUAGUAGGAACUAAUUGAAUAGUGGUUGGAUUAACAUCUCACAGGUGUAGUUCCCAUCAUGGCUCAGCAGAAAUGAAUCUGACUACCAUCCAUGAGGACACAGGUUCAAUCCCUAGCCUCGCUCAGUGGGUUAAGGAUCUGGCGUUGCUGUGAGCUGUGGUGUAGGUCAGACGUGGCUCAUAUCCUGCCUUGUUGUGGCUGUGGUGUAGGCUGGUGGCUACAGUUCCGAUUAGAUCCCUAGCCUGGGAACCUCCAUAUGUUGCAGGUAUGGCUCUAAAUAGACAAAAGACCAAAAAAAAACAAAAACAAAAACAAAAACAAAAACAAAAACUCACAGGCAAACAAUGUUUAAUUGAGUGAAUAAAGUUUUUUUUGUGUGUGCAUUUAACUCAGGUGUCUUAACUCUAUGAGCAACAAAAAUAUCAAAGCUGUCUAAUGAAUGUGUGUAGAAAGUUAAAAUCUGCAGAAUAUAUGAAACUUCUGCUAUGUUAUCUCAUUAAUUUCAAAUGAUUAGGAGCAUCCAAACCACCUGAUAUGACCACACUGAAAAUAGUUUAAAGUAACAAAAUGUAACCAGGAAAAAACAGUUGUCUUUAAGAAAAAAAGCUUUAUCUUAUGAGUAAAAUUCACAACAUAAGUUAGAAAAUACUUAAAAUAAUAAUGAAAAAGCUAUAUAUAUAAGUAUUUGAUAUUCAAACAGCAAUACUUAGGAAUAUAUAGCCUUCAUGUUUCUAUUAGAAAAGAAGAAAAUUUUAAAUUAGUUAGAUAAGCAUCUUACCUAAGGAGUUUAAAAUUAAUAGAAAAAAGAAAAGAAAUAAUAAAUAUCAGAUAUGAUUUUCAUGAAGAGAAAAUAAAUAUCUGAAUGAUCUAUAAUCUUUCAUGAAGUUAGAUCAUGAGUUAAAAAUCUUCUCCCAAAGCAAACUCAAGUACAAGCUUGGUUUUAUAAGAGGGUUCUACCAAACUUUUAAGAUACAAAUUGUAACAUUAAAGAAACUCUUUAGUAAAAGUGAAAAAGAAGGAUUUUUUUCAAAUAUUAUAAUAGUUGGUAAAAAAAUACACAUAUAAUUUUUAGAUUUUAUAUGGCAUAGUAAUAAAAUAAACAUCUGUGAAGUUAUCAUCACAUCUAAAACCGUAAAAAGUUCCAGUCCUGUUGUCACUGAAUGCUCUAACCUGUCCUGCUGCCUCUCCCAGAGGUAAAUAGUACCCUGAAUUUUGUGUUUUAUAAUAAAAUUUUUAAAAAAUUGAGGUGUUUAGUAAAAUGUCACAAUACAUUUUGACAAAUAACUACACAUACAUAAACAAGAUAAAUAAUCUUUCCAUUGCAUGAAAUAAUUCCCUCCUUCAACCAAGACAACUAUCAUUCUCUACUUUUUCCUAUCACCUCAGCUUAGUUUUAUCUGCUCUUGAACUUGUAUCAGUAGACUUCCAUAGCAUAUAUUGGGGGUGUGUGUGUAUGUUUCUUUUGAGAUACAGCCAUCUUGUCUUAGUAGUUGACUCCUUUUGAUUACAAAGCAAUGUCCCAGUAUAUAAAUAUAGCACUGUUUGUUCAUCCAUUUUCCUAUUGAUGGAAUCCCAGACUGUCUUUAGUUCGGGGUUGUUAUGACUAAAAAUGAUAUGAACAUCCUUAUACACAACUUUUUGUGAACACAUUUCAGCAUUACUUGUGUAAGUAUUUUGAAGUGGAAUUGCUAUAUCAAUGGAUAUGUGUAUCUUUUUUAUAAGAUUUCAAACUGUUUUCCAAAGUGUCUGUGCCAUUUUCCAUGCACACUAGAAAUUUGUGAGUGUUUCAGUUGCUCCACUUGCAGUGGAAUUUUAGAUGUUGCAAAUUUUCUGAAUUUUAGCCAUUCAAGUAUGUGUGAAGUGCUAUCACAUUGGAAUUUUAAUUUGUAUUUCCAUGACAAAUAAUAAAGUUGAACAACUUUUCAAGUGCUUGAAUGAUUUGCAGCAGGGUUUCUAAAAGGGAACUUUGCUGCUUAUUUUGGAUACAGAUUGAAAAAAUAAUGAUGAGUAUUUCGGGAUUAAAAGAUGGCUUCCUUGGAGUUCCCACUGUGGCUCAGUCCUUAACGAAUCCGACUAGGAACCAUAAGGUUGUGGGUUCGAUCCGUGGCCUUGCUCAGUGGGUUAAGGAUCCGCCGUUGCUGUGAGCUGUGGUGUAGGUUGCAGAUGCGGCUGGGAUCCCAAGAGUUGCUGUGGCUCUGGUGUAGGCUGGUGGCUACAGUUCCAAUUCCACUUCUAGCCUGGGAACCUCCAUUUGCCCCCGGAGGGGCCCAAGAAAUGGCAAAAAAGACAAAAAAAAAAAAGAUGGCUUCCAGUUCGUCUUCAUUAUUUUUUUAGAUAGCAACAGAUUUCUGAGUAUAUAAUCUUUCUCUCUCUUUUAAAAAUAAGGAAAUCCCACAGAAAGAUACAGGUGAUUCAGGUUAAAAUGUGAGGGAAAUCCUCACGUGCAAACAAAAAGGUGUUAAUAAACUUUAAAUUGUGACCGUCCCCUUAUCUGACCAAACGAGUAUUGCCUGAAACAACACACUUAAUGUAUUAGGUAGAAAUAAAACUAUAAAACAGAGCUUGAAAUUUGUAACAACACCCCAUUAUGUGAUUUGUAAUAUUUUGUAAGCAAACAGAAUGAUGUGUGCCUAUCACUAAAGACAAAUUGAUGAAUUAAGACUAUAUUUUCACUUAAAUUGAAGAGAGCUCUUGUUUCUCUUGGGUUAUUGAGACUAGUAAGGCCUAUACAAAUUUAAAAUGCAAGAAUUCAUAAAUUUCCAUAAAGAGGAAAAAAAAGACAACAAAAUAAAUCUUAAAUACUUGUUGGGCUAUAGCUCAAGGGAGCAAAAGAGUGCUUUAAAAUAAUCACCUUGAUUUCUAGGUUAAAAGAUAAGCACAGGAAGGCCGUUGUUAUCAGAUAAAUAGCCAGGAGAAACAAACAAACAAAUGCUUAAGAACUUUUGUGCUUCUUGAUAUACUUUAAAGGUGAAAUCUGAAUAAAGUCUACAAUUUAAUUAAUAUACAGUACCAAUGUUAAUUACUUCGUUUUGGCAGCAGAACCAAGGCUGUAUAAGAUGUUAACUUUGGAGGAAACUGAGGGAAAGAUGUAUAGGAACUCUGAACGAUACUUAAUGCAAUUUUUCUAAAUAGUAAAUCUAAAACGAUUCCAAAAUUAAAAGUUUAUUUAAAAUUACAUAUUUGGCAAGAGGGAAAGGAAAUGUGGCAAAACAUUAACAAUAGGUAAGUCUAGGUGACAGGCGUAUAUGGGUGUUUUUUGGCCAAUUUUUUUCAACUUUCCUGUAGGUUUGAAAUUUGUCAACAUCAAGUGUUAAAAGAAAAGAGAAGAUCACAUUGGU